AAAAUACUCCCUCCGUUCCUAAAUACUUGUCUUUCUAGGCAUUUCAACAAGUGACUACAUACGGAGCAAAAUGAGUGAAUCUACACUCUAAAAUAUGUCUACAUACAUCCGUAUGUAGUAGUCAUUUGAAAUGUCUAGAAAGACAAAUAUUUAGGAACGGAGGGAGUAUAUA
rnacentral:pre_miRNA from 1 species